CUUUUUUUUCGUAAUUACGAAGGCCGAAGACCUAUCUUAGGUCUUCUAGUCUUCGUUUUCGUACUGUAGGUAUUCAUUUUCGAAACACCCGCAUCACAUGUGGUUGGCGUACUGUAUAUUUGUAUUUUUAUAUUAGCUUAUUAUACUAUGACAGAAUAUAUAUUGUCAAAAAAUGCUAAAAUAUUGUAUUAAAUUGAGAAAUAAGGUUACUUACCACUACUACAAUGUGUAAUUGACUUUUCUGCAUGGGUUGAUUUGGGCAUCAUACGUAUCUCAAUUAAGGGAAGCCUCACAUAUCG